rnacentral:lncRNA from 1 species
AUGGAUGCCCUCAAUGGGAUUGGCACUUUCUCCAUUGCUCCUGCACUCUGUUAUCAGCACUUCGGGUUCAUAAUGUACACACAGCAACAGAUGCCUUCCUCACUGGUCACCAGGUUCAAGGUCCCUCAUAUGUGUCAGGUGCAUAGUCACCAACAAAGGCCAACUUCACAUCAAUGGGUGGAUCGUACCUCGGCCUAAGCUCCAGGAUUGAUUGUGCUGUUAGAGUCACAGCUACAACCGGCUCAGGGAACCCAGUGGAAGAGGAGGUGGAGUGUGAGAGCCAAUUGGAAUGGAAGACAGUGAGGAAACAAGGCCUUCGAGACACAAGAGGACUGCUGAGCUCACAAAGACUGAGGCAGCACCCUCAGGACCUGCACAGGUCUAAGCUUGAUGCGAUCUGAGUACUGAGAGGGCAACUGGACACAAUUCUAUAUUGAUAACCCAGAAGCUUUCUCCAGUUGAUAAACUCUUUCAAAGGAAAAACUUGUUUUCUACCAUGGAGUGACACUGGAUAUAGAAACUACCGUUAACAGCAGACUCCAUGGCUCAGACUUCCAAUACAAUAUGAACUCAGUUGCAAUUUUUUGCAAGGUUUUUCGACUCAUAGUUCUUUGUCUGGGUACUUUUUCACCCUACAGAGAAUUUCUGUAUAUAUUAUCGUUUCUGAUUCUAGUGUUUUGAAUUUUCGCUGGGUCUAAAUAUCUCUGUCUCAGUGUCAGUAUGUGUUUCUCAUGAUUUUUCUUUGCUUCUCUUUUUCCUAU